rnacentral:RNase_P_RNA from 1 species
UGAGGAUGCCAGACGAUCGCAGGCUUUUGCCUGAGGAAAGUCCGAGCACCGCAGGGCAGGAUGCCGGUCAACUGCCGGUGGAGGCGACUCUAAGGAAAGUGCAACAGAGAUAUACCGCGCCCCUUCGGGGACGUAAGGGUGGAAAGGUGAGGUAAGAGCUCACCAGCGGCCUGGCGACUCGUCCGCUCUGUAAACCCCAUCCGGUGCAAGAUUGAUAGGGAAGCAUAUGUGGCGGCCCGUCACGCUUCCGGGUAAUCGCUAGAGCCUGCUGGCAACUGCAGGCCUAGAUAGAUGAUCGUCCAAUACAGAACUCGGCUUACAGACAUCACUCACGAU